AUCUCUACUUGGAGAUUACUUUCUUUGGAGUGUUUAGUGAGCCCUGAUUCUUGGAAGGGGUGACUCCUUGUUAGCUUUGAAUCAGUGGAACUUAACCUCUGAGUAAAACUGAAGAUGGCAACCGUGAUGUUCGUUGCUUAGGGGAGCCUGCGGCUUGGCCACAUACCGAGGUGACACCAAUAUGAUGAGCGGGAGAAGCCUGUCCCGUACAUCCCGUGCCCCCGCAAGACGCUUACUACAACAUGCAUGACAUAUAGAUCUGGAAGAAUACCUCAGAAAAGUUCUAGAAUGUUUGUUAUAAUAAUAAUGGCAAUGAUAAGUAAGUUUGUUUGUUUGAUAAGCACUUACAGUGUUCUCAUAAUGAACUUGACUUGGCUGUGUUUACUCCUUUUAUGUUUACUUUUUGCAAAUGUUCAUUGGGUUUAUUAUUCUCACAGGAAUGUUUGCUGAAAUGUUCAUUUUAAAGAGGAUUUUGGAAGACAUUCUUAAAUUGUAAAUUUUAAACUCAUAAAUAUUAGAGCCAUUAGAGAGUAUUCAUUUACUUACGAAUUAUGGUUAUCAUCUUAGAGAACAAAAGAAAUGUUUUAUCCAAUUAUAGUUAACACAAGGGAAAAUAACAGAUUUUGCUAGCAAUGAGCUGCUUGAAUGUAAUGUGCCAAGUAAGAUAUUUUCUUAGCACUUGAAAUGUUAAUUCUGUAGUGAUUCCUACCAACUGAUGAACGUAGAUAUUGUGUGUAUUUCUCUACUCACGUGCCUCCCUCUGCAGGGUAUAUGGUUCUGUUGUAAACUUAACCAGGGAGAAGUUAAAUUCACAAAUCAGUCUUUUUGAUUGUGUGUGUUGUAUGUGCUUGUGGUGCUCAUAAAAAGAAAUCCUUAAUUCAUGUAAUCAAUGGCCAUAACAAAUCAUUCUUAAACUCCUUGUGCAAAACAUGAUUUGUUCAUUUAGCAAGCAACAGUAACUUGUACCAUUUUUCAUCCUGGGGUCCUGAGUUUGGACAGCAGAAAAUGUCAACUCUCCUCUCUCACCUAUCUGUCAUGAAAAUUUGGGUGGUCUUUCCCCAUGUAUGUUUACUUCCAUGUCAUCCCUGCACUAUGACUGUUGAACUCUAUGGCUGCUCCAUGCUCAUCAACAAUCCAUUAUUUGUGUCUAAUUCCAGUCAGCUUCCUUGAGCAACAACUUCAUAGGAAUUUCAUAGUUAGAGCCCUUAACUGGGGACACAACCACAGACAGAGAGUGAGCUCAUGGAUUACUCUGGAAGAGACAGCAUUCUUUCUUUUCUAUCAAAAAAUGUGGAAGAAAUGAAAAAAUAAAAUGAAAGAAUCAGAGGUAAACUGAAGAAAUUAAAAAAUAAAAAAGAAGCUGCUGUCCAUUUAGAUUGUGGUAAUUUGUUAUGAUGUUUACUAAAAUGCUUUUGAAAAACACAAUGAAGCAAAGCUUAAAUGCAAAAAUAAAAUAACCUGCCCACAAAUAUAAGCAAGGACAUUUAUCAGAAAACAGAUGUUCUCUUAUAGCAGAACUAAACACUCCUAGAAACAUAACAAUCCAUUUAUCUUAAUGAAUGCAUCCUCUAGCAGAUAUUAGAAGUAACAGCAGCAACAGUUUACCUGCAGGUCUACUAAAUGUAUUUCCAUGAAAAUUUGGGACAUAGGGAUAAGCUUGGGAUUUUGAUUCUUUUUUUUUCCCUUGAUCAGAUAUUGAUUAGGGAAGAACUUUGUUUUUCCCUUGGUUAUGAAGAUGACUUGUACAGAAAUUGACUCCAGAGAACAAUUUAAGUAACUGCAAAUCUUUUUAAAGUUAUAUCUAGUUACUCUACAGUGGCAUCUGGAAAUCAGACCCAGUCCUUGCACAUGCCCUCUGUAAUGAGAGAAUCUCUUAAGAAAUUGAAUUAUCAGUUUCCAUCUCCCUUUGCAUCACUGAAGAAGUUUAAGAACAACAUCUUAGCUAUGGUCAGUAGUAAACAAGUUUUUAAAAAUAUUUCCAGCACACUAUAAGUGGAUUCUACCUAGAAUUGUAUUCAUUUCUAAACUCCUAUUCUUUCUCAAUUGAUAAAUGAUUAGCCAAAAUUCUGCGAAUAAUUCUCAAAGAUAGUCAGUUCCUCUUGUACAGAAAAUUCUGAAUAAUAACAGAACAUUAUGUAAACUGUUCAUUUUAAUAUUAUUCUUCCUAGGAAUUCAGUACAGCAUUAUAAGCAUUAGUGCCAUAAAUUGUCUCUGGCUUGACUUUUGUAGCAUUUACAAUUGCUUUUAAGUUAGAAUACUUGUAAUGACCUUUUAUAAUGACUUGUAUUACCAUUAAGCAUACCUAAACAUUUAACUGUCCUUAUAACAGCAGAAGGGUCUCACAAAUAAACAUAUGUCAGC
ensembl:lncRNA